rnacentral:ribozyme from 12 species
UUUCCAUUUUUUUUUUUUUUUUUUUUUUUUCUAAUUUUUUUAAGUUUGCCUGGUGGUGGCUGAAUCAACAAUCCAAGGUUAAGUUGAUUACUCAGUUUAUAGAAAUCAAGAAAAUCAUCAAUGAUUUUAACUUUGGACAUGCAUUUGAAAAAACUGUUCAGCAGUAUAUGCUUCUACCAAUCAUGAAUAAUG